AUUGAACGCUGGCGGCAUGCCUUACACAUGCAAGUCGGGCGAGUGGCGGACGGGUGAGUAAUGUAUGGGGAUCUGCCUGAUGGCGGGGGAUAACUACUGGAAACGGUAGCUAAUACCGCAUACCAUCAGAUGAACCCAUCUGGGAUUAGCUAGUUGGUGGGGUAAAGGCUCACCUAGGCGACGAUCCCUAGCUGGUCUGAGAGGAUGACCAGCCACACUGGGACUGAGACACGGCCCAGACUCCUACGGGAGGCAGCAGUGGGGAAUAUUGCACAAUGGGCGCAAGCCUGAUGCAGCCAUGCCGCUUGUAUGAAGAAGGCCUUCGGGUUGUAAAGUACUUUCAGUCGGGAGGCGUUACCGACAGAAGAAGCACCGGCUAACUCCGUGCCAGCAGCCGCGGUAAUAC
rnacentral:rRNA from 1 species